rnacentral:sRNA from 1 species
AAGCAAAGGAACAAUAUCACGUAAACCUAAAAUAAACGAAACGUUGGAGAACACGUUUUCUUACCAUUUGGAGUCACCAACUACGAAAUUAUCAGAAUAAAUAGAAUCAAAAUCGGAUUAGUUUCGGUUAAAUUAUGGGUAAGUCAAACCGGAUGUAUAAUUAUCGGUUAACUGGUCGGUUCAAUUGGAGGCGUAGUUUUAAGAACAAAUCCGAAAGUACAUGUAGUUUUAUCGAGAUUAAAAUUGUUUGGGAUUGUGACACGUUUAGACACUUUUUGAUAAUAUUAUUACUUUUAAGACACUUAUGAGGGAGUGGUCACUUUGCCAUCUUUUUGAGAGAUAAUUGGACCAAUUUACCCCUGAAGUAGUGAUUACGCAAUAAUUUUAAACUCAUUAUUGUUGAGAUCGUUUGGGUGAGAAAUUAUCCUCUUUUUAUCAUCUCUCUUCCAUAUUCUUUUUUUUCCAUCAUUUUCAGUUCUCUCUUUCAAAAUCAAUGUCGUUCUCUAUAAUUCUUACAAAAUCAUGGUCGUUCCCAUUAACUUUCUCUCCUUUCCAUAAGAAGUCACCAAUCUUCAUUAUAUCAUGUAUAAUCUCCUCAUAAACUUUCGAUUUAUCGUCUCCUCAUAAUCUCUUCAAGAAGUUCGGUAAGGGGAAGCAUUGCU